rnacentral:rRNA from 1 species
AUUAUACAGCGAAACUGCGAAUGGCUCAUUAUAUAAGUUAUCGUUUAUUUGAUAGUACCUUACUACAUGGAUAACCGUGGUAAUUCUAGAGCUAAUACAUGCUAAAAAUCCCGACUUCGGAAGGGAUGUAUUUAUUAGAUUAAAAACCAAUGCCCUCCGGGGCUAACAGGUGAUUCAUAAUAACUUCUCGAAUCGCAUGGCCUUGCGCCGGCGAUGGUUCAUUCAAAUUUCUUCCCUAUCAACUUUCGAUGUUUGGGUAGUGGCCAAACAUGGUGGCAACGGGUAACGGAGGGUUAGGGCUCGACCCCGGAGAAGGAGCCUGAAAAACGUGAGUUUCAAGUGUCCGGAGUGUUUUGAAUAUGUGCUAACGUGGUCGAAUAGGGCUACUACAUCCAAGGAAGGCAGCAGGCGCGCAAAUUACCCAAUACUAAUUUAGUGAGGCAAGUAAACUGUGAAUCCUCUUGUUAUGCACGAUGCUAAUACCUUCUACAGGUAGUGACGAUAAAUACUGAUACAGGGCUCUUUUGGGUCUUGUAAUCGGAAUGAGUACAAUUAAAUCCCUUAACGAGGAACAAUUGGAGGGCAAGUCUGGUGGACUUCCAGUCCCCGCUGGCGCCAGACAGAACGUUUAGACGUUAGUCGAGCAUCCCACGAGUUGACGGGUGGAUGCCGGCAAGACAACCUGGUUUCGGGGGAGGUAAAGGCCCCAGUGGCUCACGCUAAUCCCGAGAGGAGUCUGCAGAGCAGGCCCUUGUAGAGCGCGCAAAGGUGUCGGUCGCGGUCCCCGCGGCUUAAGGUACGCGCCAUCCCCCUCGAAAGAGGAGCCCUGAACCCGAGCCCCCGUCAGGCAAAGGUGCAGGGGCUGUGCCGCCCCGCGUGGCGACGCACAGGGGUUUCGAAUAGUCAAAAUUGGCCAGCAGCCGCGGUAAUUCCAGCUCCAAUAGCGUAUAUUAAAGUUGUUGCGGUUAAAAAGCUCGUAGUUGAACCUUGGGCCUGGCUGGCCGGUCCGCCUCACCGCGUGUACUGGUCCGGCCGGGCCUUUCCCUCUGUGGAACCCCAUGCCCUUAACUGGGUGUGGCGGGGAAACAGGACUUUUACUUUGAAAAAAUUAGAGUGCUCCAGGCAGGCCUAUGCUCGAAUACAUUAGCAUGGAAUAAUAGAAUAGGACGUGUGGUUCUAUUUUGUUGGUUUCUAGGACCGCCGUAAUGAUUAAUAGGGACAGUUGGGGGCAUCAGUAUUCAAUUGUCAGAGGUGAAAUUCUUGGAUUUAUUGAAGACUAACUACUGCGAAAGCAUUUGCCAAAGAUGUUUUCAUUAAUCAGGAACGAAAGUUAGGGGAUCGAAGACGAUCAGAUACCGUCGUAGUCUUAACCAUAAACUAUGCUGACUAGGGAUCGGGCGAUGUUACUUUUUGACUCGCUCGGCACCUUACGAGAAAUCAAAGUCCAUGAGUUCCGGGGGGAGGUAAGCGGCACCACCUUCCUUUACACUUAUUGCUUGUGCUAACU